CUAGAGAGAGAGAGAGAGAGAGAGAGAGAGAGAGAGAGAGAGAGAUGGAGGGAUAAGAUGGAUGUAUUGAGAGGAAACACAAUGGUGGACAUGAGGCAAGAACAAGAAGACCAGGUGGUCCUGGUUAUUCUCCAAAAUCUCUCUCUUCCUGGAGAUAUUGCAGGUUUUCUAUUGAAUUGUCUGAUUCACCCGCUGUAAGCUGAGGUCUGUUAGUUGGAAAUAAAGAUGGAAGGUUUUAUAAAGUCA